UGCGGAGGGAUCAUUACUGAGUUUACGCUCUACAACCCUUUGUGAACAUACCUAUAACUGUUGCUUCGGCGGGUAGGGUCUCCGUGACCCUCCCGGCCUCCCGCCCCCCCGGGCGGGUCGGCGCCCGCCGGAGGAUAACCAAACUCUGAUUUAACGACGUUUCUUCUGAGUGGUACAAGCAAAUAAUCAAAACUUUUAACAACGGAUCUCUUGGUUCUGGCAUCGAUGAAGAACGCAGCGAAAUGCGAUAAGUAAUGUGAAUUGCAGAAUUCAGUGAAUCAUCGAAUCUUUGAACGCACAUUGCGCCCGCCAGCAUUCUGGCGGGCAUGCCUGUUCGAGCGUCAUUUCAACCCUCAAGCUCUGCUUGGUGUUGGGGCCCUACAGCCGAUGUAGGCCCUCAAAGGUAGUGGCGGACCCUCCCGGAGCCUCCUUUGCGUAGUAACUUUACGUCUCGCACUGGGAUCCGGAGGGACUCUUGCCGUAAAACCCCCCAAUUUUCCAAAGGUUGACCUCGGAUCAGGUAGGAAUACCCGCUGAACUUAAGCAUAUCAAUA
rnacentral:rRNA from 1 species